rnacentral:misc_RNA from 1 species
AGAAGCUCGAGCAGUGCUAUCCAGGUAUGUUUAUAAUUCCGAUCAAGAAAAUGGGUGGGUGUAUUUGAGGUGCAAUAACUAUUAGAUAACGCCACCUGCCACUAAUAAUAAUAGUAAUAAAUGAAAAACUUUUUACCCUCUCUUCUUUGGUGACUUCCAUGAAUGUUGAAUGAAUUGUGCUUGCUACUGUGCAAAAUUGGUACCUAAAGAAUUCCGUCUUUUCUUGUUCUAUUUCCCCUCACAACAUAAGAGUGUGAUGUCAUUUCCAUUACAUGCUUUGCAAUUGAUGUACUUGUUUUACAGUAGCUACCGAAUUGGUGAAAUAUACUUCUUUAAAUUAAAGAUGGCCAUUUUCAUCCAUUGCAGUGCUGAAUUUGGUAGUGUUGU